GAUAUUCCCUCUCUGAUCUACUUCUCUGGACAUCUGGGUUUCCUGUGGAUUGCGUUCAAUCAGCAAUGUUGAGAACAUUCUGGAUAAAAGGUAUGGGAGAGUAUGUGACCCAGUGUACUUUCAAUUAAGUGGUGAAGUACAAACAAUGAGAGGUGCCUCCAGCAGCUCCCUGGACUCCUUCUCCCCAAGGGGAAAAGGAAACUGAAUAAAGGAAAACAUGGACAACCUCAAAUGCAGAAACAUGACAUAUUUUCUCAUGAGGACAGCGUGGCCCAGGAGAAAGAGGUGAGUUAGGAUUCAGAGCAUGUUCAGAUUCCCCUAUGAGGGAUCCCAUUCUCUAAACUUGGAGAAGCCACUUUCCUUUACUGAGGCUUUGUUUCCUCAUCAGAGAGGAGUCAAAGGUUAGACAAAGUAACAUCUUUUGUUUCGGAAAUCCAUGGAGUUUGCAGCCAGGAUAUGGGGGAAUGUUCUGGAUGAGAGGUAACCAUGAAGGCAUGGAUUCUUUUGCAUGGUUUUCAAUCUGUAGGAUAUUCCUUUUUCUUUCCAUUCAACGCUUUGCAGAGUGUUAAAAAGCAAGGAGUUCUAAAUUUGAGGCAAACACAGUAUUUUUCUCUUAUAUUUUUAUAAUGCUUAACAAUUAACAGAGUAUUGUCAUGUGUAUUAUCCUCAUAGCAACUGCUGUAAAUAGUGAUAUCAUUAUGUUCUAGUUUUGCAGAGGAGAAAUUCAUCCUCCAAGAGAACACUCACUUUAAAAUUACAAAAGCAAUCUUUGGGGGUGCUAGAUUUGGACCCAGUUGUGUUCUUUGAAAAUUCUCCUUCCACACAACACUAACCUCAUUAUUUCUGUAAUCUGAGAACAAGAAACACAAACCCACUACUGCUAUUAGGACCAAAGUUUCAUUUCUAUACUCAGGUGGGUAUUUGGAAACAGUGGUUCACAAUAACAAUUUCUGCAAUGUGAAGAAACCAGCAUUACUGCUCAUCUGUAAAAAUUUUUUAAAGUAUAUCUCUUCUGGAAAUUCAACACUUUUUUCUCUCUCUCUCAAUGUAUGCAUAUAUGUAUGUAGAUAUGACAUCAUUUGUAGGAGUGUGCAGUUUUGUUGUCUUUAUUUAUUCAUAUGAUAUUUUUCCCAUUUAUUCCUCUCACUGAGCACCUCCCAAUGGCUAGACCCUGUGCUAGGUAUGGGGCAUACAGAGAUAGACGAAGUAUCUCUGACACCACUGCCUUGUCCACAUGUGAGCAACGUGGGGUAUUCAUGUGUGCACUGAAUGCUAACACAAGGAAGGAGGUAUCCGUUACAGAAUAAUAGAAGCAAAAUGUGGUGGGAGCGUAGAACACAGAUUGAUUUUUUAACUCUUUCUUUGGAAUAUAAAAGUCCCACCAACACAAGAGAGGCUAGUCUUACCAGUAGAUGGUCAGGGUUGGGAUAUUUCCCUCCCCUCAAAUAUCGAUUCCCACUUCGACAUCAUGGUGACUGAAAUGAUAGCAUCCAUUGCACAUCACGAAGAAAGGAUUUCUGAAGACAUCCCAGAAUAGAAUAAAGAAGUAAUUAGUCUGGGCCCUCAAUAUCUUCUUGCUUUAGGUGUGGGGGUGCAAAAAGUCCCUCAUCAGCUUCUUUGAUGCUGGCCCAUUACUGGCUGCUCUCUCAAGAAUCUACUGGUGCUCCUGACUCUGUAGGUGGACAGAGAAAAUUUUAGCUAUUAAAUGUUACAUAACUAACACUUACAUAAUUAAAUAUUACGAAUCUUACCAGUAAAAGCUUCUUCCCAGCAUCCUUUAUGAAUGUGCACAGCCAAGUUCACUAAAGAUAUUGAGACUGUGGCCCCUCUCUCAACACCCCCCAUCUGCCUGCCCCAUCAUUCCCUCGAUGCUAGCACAUACUCCUCCCCCUUUACCCACAUCUUCAGCCCCACUCUGAGACCUAACCCAAGACCCAGCUUCUUCAUGUGGUCUUUCCUAUAGCAGUUCCAGAAUCACCUUUUUCGCUCUCCCCUGUUUAUAUUGUCAUUUGCUAAUUAUCUUUUUAAAAUUAUGCCAUAAUUUCUCUUGUUUUAAAAUGACCGGCUUCCUCGACUACAUUUUUGUGUUCUUUGAAGGAAGUUAUAUACUUUCAAGAACCGUGCAUAAUAGCAGUUUUAUUUGGCUUUACUGAAGUGACACAUACUUAGCAAUUUUAUCCAUUUGAAUGAGGGAAUAACAAAUUGCAAUGUUUGCAAGCUGAGCAGGGCUUUUCAAAGACCAUAUUUUAAGAGGCCCAUGCCACACUAUAUCAGACAUACUAAAACGUAUUCACAUCUCAAUUAAAUAUUAUUUACAUAUGCAUAUUUGUGGAUUUCUCUACAUAUACACAUACAUAUGCAUAUAUGUAUGUAUACAAAUAUAUAUGUGUAUAUAUAUCUCUAUAUGAAGUGAAUUCUAAUUUGCUAGUUAAAAUAAUGUUCUGUUUCAUACCUGUUUGACCAUAUUGAUGUCAAUUUUCCAAUUUUUCUUUUUUACUUUAGAGCCAAUGCUGCUUUUGGGGCAUCAUUUUUAUAGGAUCUGGACAAUGGAGAGGCAUGUUGGGUUGUUGAUGGGGGCAGGUGCUUCCUGAUCAUCACUGUGAAACAGAAAUAAGCCAUGGCUUUGACCUAGCAGCCCAGCCUCACUGCAGAGCGGACGUCUUUGAGCAACACUGGUUGUGUUGACACAGACAUUAGGUUACAUCCCUCACUGCUGUUUCCACUUGUCCUGAUUUUUCCUAGCGUCCUCUUUUGCUCUGAGAUUUUCCAGGAUUUUUCACACCACUUAGGGGAUUUGCAGAUGGAAAUUUUGAGUAAAAUGUGUUCACUCGUUUUCAUGUUAUGCAAGAGUGAAAACAAAAAAGCCUCAAACUCAAUUUAGGAUGGAGUGGGAUGGGGUGGAGUGGCGCCCAUGCACGAAAAACUCAAAACUGCUAAAUUGCAAGAAGCAAAACUUUCCUUGAGCUUAAUUUUCAGUGUGGGAGAUUCUCUGUAGGGGUUUUGGGGAAAAAAUGACAGAAUUUUUAAGCACCAUUGACACGAAUAUUUGCUACAUAGACUUUGAGUGAUGUACCCAUUUCCAUGUUGUAAAUUGAUAAGCAAAGGGAGUUGCUGAGGCUGGAAGUUACUGUUAGUGGUUUCUGAGGGUAUCAUGCAAUGAUUUUAGGAAUCUUAUCUCCACACUUUCUACUCCCACCACCCGAUCCUCUUUGAUGCCCCCGUG
ensembl:lncRNA novel transcript